GAAAGUGGUGGGCUGCGGUUGAUUAAAUACAGGCCCUAACCUGAAUAGAAAACCCUUGGCUUCUGGCGUUGUCGUUUUUUCUUUUUGAUCAAAGCCUUGUCGUCUCUUUCUUCGUUGUUCAGAGACGUUUCAUCUUUGUCUGAAUCAUAUGUGGCAUCGAAACGCGCUUCUUCGUGAUUAAUGUCCAUUACUUCAGUCACCACGAUGUAGCCUUGAAUGCAUGCUUUGAUUAGGAGUCGGUGAACUUGAGCGUAUAAAUAUUAGAUCUACUAAACGCAGAAAAAGCUAUCCAAGUAAUAUGAAAGAUCGCCGGUGAAACAUAAUGAUCCUGGAGGUGGAUUUAUAUGAUGUGAACCAGAGGUGCUGAACUCAAGAAGAACCUUGCUCUCUCUCGCUAAAAAGCAAAGAAGAAAACUUGAAAAUGCGAUAAGCACAUUAGAUCUGAAUAAUCCAAGGUUCAUGUAGAUAUCAACACAAGAGUCAGGGUCAGAGAAAAAAAGAGAAUCAACAGUGAAGCAAAUAAGGUGUUCCAAAAGAAAAGUGAAAGAAAAAGCUAAGAAGAUCAAGAACAAUCCUACCAAACUUGGCCAUGGUCAUUACAACGAUCGUGAUGUGUACGAAGAAGAAUAUGGCAAGCAAGAAUCAGAGCGGCACGGUGAGCCAGAUUUGUUAUUUACCUUUGAAAAAGACUUGCGCGUUCUGUUUUUUGCGACAUUAAUGGGUUCUCUGUUUUAUGUCGGAAUGGCACAAUGUAUAAUCAUGGCGGUGUAUCUGUUCAAGCUGUGUCACUGUGUCAUCUCGGGGAAGCUAAUUUCCAGGCACCGCCGAAGAUCGUUCCACCAGGGAUAAAAGUUUCUCAUUGGUGUUUUUGGAUACUUUUUAUGGACACGAGAGGAUAUAUACUCUGGAGAGGGACGUGAGAAGAGAGGCACCGUCUCAUCCUCCUAAACUGCAUGACAUGUCGUAGAGAGAAUAAAUGAUCUAGGCUCAUCAGAUGGCAAUAAAACACGCAUGUGUCUUUGUUAUCCGCAACAAAGAUGUAAUGAGGACGUGAUGUUUUUUUAAAUAUUGGUUGAAGUUGCAGGCAAACCUUUGUCAAAAGUCUACAGCCAUCUGUGAAUUGGCUUGAAGAGGCUGAGGAACAAAAAAUUACGAUGUUUCUUUUUCAUUUUGUUCUGUAAUUAUCUUUUUUUUAUAAACAUAUAAUUUUAGAGUGUAUAUGUCUUUUAACUCUUUUGAUUUCUGAUAUUCUUUUGCUGCAUUUGACCUUUUAGUGGCAAGAAGCUUACUUUUCAGAUGA